UACGUAGGGGGCAAGCGUUGUCCGGAAUUAUUGGGCGUAAAGAGCGCGUAGGCGGUCCGGUAAGUCGGCUGUGAAAGUCAGGGGCUCAACCCUUGAAAGCCGGCCGAUACUGUCGGACUAGAGUCCGGAAGAGGCGAGUGGAAUUCCCGGUGUAGCGGUGAAAUGCGCAGAUAUCGGGAGGAACACCAAUAGCGAAGGCAGCUCGCUGGGACGUUACUGACACUGAGGCGCGAAAGCGUGGGGAGCGAACAGG
rnacentral:rRNA from 1 species